rnacentral:rRNA from 1 species
GACAUGCAAGUCGAACGAACUUAACCAUUAGUUUACUAUUGGAGCGGUUAGUGGCGGACUGGUGAGUAACACGUAAGCAACCUGCCUAUCAGAGGGGAACAACAGUUAGAAAUGACUGCUAAUACCGCAUAUGCCUUAGAAUCACAUGGUUCAAAAGGGAAAGGAGCAAUCCGCUGAUAGAUGGGCUUGCGUCUGAUUAGCUAGUUGGUGGGGUAAUGGCCUACCAAGGCAACGAUCAGUAGCCGAACUGAGAGGUUGAACGGCCACAUUGGGACUGAGAUACGGCCCAGACUCCUACGGGAGGCAGCAGUCGGGAAUAUUGCGCAAUGGAGGAAACUCUGACGCAGUGACGCCGCGUGCAGGAAGAAGGUUUUCGGAUUGUAAACUGCUUUAGACAGGGAAGAACAAAGACAGUACCUGUAGAAUAAGCUCCGGCUAACUACGUGCCAGCAGCCGCGGUAAUACGUAGGGAGCGAGCGUUAUCCGGAUUUAUUGGGUGUAAAGGGUGCGUAGACGGGAAGUCAAGUUAGUUGUGAAAUCCCUCGGCUUAACUGAGGAACUGCAACUAAAACUGAUUUUCUUGAGUACUGGAGAGGAAAGUGGAAUUCCUAGUGUAGCGGUGAAAUGCGUAGAUAUUAGGAGGAACACCGGUGGCGAAGGCGACUUUCUGGACAGAAACUGACGUUGAGGCACGAAAGUGUGGGGAGCAAACAGGAUUAGAUACCCUGGUAGUCCACACCGUAAACGAUGGAUACUAGGUGUAGGGGAUAUUAAAAUUCUCUGUGCCGCCGCUAACGCAAUAAGUAUCCCACCUGGGGAGUACGGCCGCAAGGUUGAAACUCAAAGGAAUUGACGGGGG